GACGUACCACCCGAACGUUGUUCGGAAUCACUGGGCUUAAAGGGCGCGUAGGCGGGCUGUCAAGUCCGGGGUGAAAUCCUCCAGCUCAACUGGAGAAUGGCCUCGGAUACUGAUGGUCUCGAGGAGGAUAGGGGCACACGGAACUGUGGGUGGAGCGGUGAAAUGCGUUGAUAUCCACAGGAACUCCGGUGGCGAAAGCGGUGUGCUGGAUCCUUUCUGACGCUGAGGCGCGAAAGCUAGGGGAGCAAACGGG
rnacentral:rRNA from 1 species